UACGGAAGGCAGCAGUGGGGAAUAUUGCACAAUGGGCGAAAGCCUGAUGCAGCUAUGCCGCGUGUAUGAAGAAGGCCUUAGGGUUGUAAAGUACUUUCAUCGGGGAGGAAAAACAAAACUAAUAAUUUUAUUUCUUGACGUUACCCGAAAAAGAAGCACCGGCUAACUCCGUGCCAGCAGCCGCGGUAAUACGGAGGGUGCUAGCGUUAAUCAGAAAUUACUGGGCGUAAAGAGCACGUAGGUGGUUUUUUUAAGUCAGAUGUGAAAUCCCUGGGCUUAACCUAGGAACUGCAUUUUGAAACUGAAAUACUAGAGUAUCGUAGAGGGAGGUAGAAUUCUAGGUGUAGCGGUGAAAUGCGUAGAUAUCUGGAGGAAUACCUGUGGCGAAAGCGGCCUCCUAAACGAAUACUGACACUGAGGUGCGAAAAGCGUGGGGAGCAAAACAGGGAUUAGAUACC
rnacentral:rRNA from 1 species